rfam:Morus notabilis contig611, whole genome shotgun sequence.
AACCAUGGUAGGGACACAUAUUUAACAAAUCUUUAAAACCUUCCCAAGCUUGAUAGAGAGUUUCGUUUUCCUUCUCAGCGAAAAUUGAGAUUUGUCAUUUCAAAUU